rnacentral:rRNA from 1 species
AGCGAACGCUGGCGGCAGGCCUAACACAUGCAAGUCGAACGAAGUCUUCGGACUUAGUGGCGGACGGGUGAGUAACACGUGGGAACGUGCCUUUAGGUUCGGAAUAACUCAGGGAAACUUGUGCUAAUACCGAAUGUGCCCUUCGGGGGAAAGAUUUAUCGCCUUUAGAGCGGCCCGCGUCUGAUUAGCUAGUUGGUGAGGUAAAGGCUCACCAAGGCGACGAUCAGUAGCUGGUCUGAGAGGAUGAUCAGCCACAUUGGGACUGAGACACGGCCCAAACUCCUACGGGAGGCAGCAGUGGGGAAUCUUGCGCAAUAGGCGAAAGCCCGACGCAGCCAUGCCGCGUGAAUGAUGAAGGUCUUAGGAUUGUAAAAUUCUUUCACCGGGGACGAUAAUGACGGUACCCGGAGAAGAAGCCCCGGCUAACUUCGUGCCAGCCGCCGCAGUAAGAC